AAAAAGAUAGGAAUUGAAUUUUCAUAUGUAUUCAAUGGACACAUAAAGUAAACAGACAUCUCAAUUUCUUAUGUUACAUUAACUACAUGGAUCAUUUCAGUGUCCAAUUUUCUUGUCUUAAAACUCUCUGACAAAGAGAGGCUCAAAGCAUAGUUCCAACUUGUUAAUGAUGUUCAUGCAUGUCAAAUUAUUCUCUAAAGAUUAAUGUCCUUGACCGAUUUAGGUAAUCCCAAAACAUCAGAUCAGGCCAUAACCUAGCAAAAGUAAAGGAUUUAUCCUUUUAGCACUUCACCUUUCGAGACAAACUAAAUCUGCAAAGGUUGUCGACAUGCAUAAUGGUGGCUAUACUUGCACCGGUUCUGGGUUUUCCAAUUUUGUUGCCACAAUCUUACAAAUAGGCAAUUCCUCAAUCUUACUCAGAAGCUUCAAUGAAGGAUGAAACUCAAUAUCACGCAUUAAGACCCUCCCUCCAAUAUCUAUAUUGCUCACGUCCACCUCAAUUUUUGUGGGAAUGUGUUCAGCUGGACAAAGAAAUUUCAGAGAAUUUCUUAUCCUCUUGAAAUGGCCCCCCUUCUUGAUACCAGGACAAUCCUCUUCUCCUUUGAAAAUAACUGGGACAUCAACUUUCAACUCCGUUCCCUCAUCGGCCCAAACAAACACCAAAUUCAGUAUAUUUCCGGUCUCUUCAUCCCUAUGUAUCUUGAUGGGUAGAACUCUUCUGGAAUCAAGGAGGACCGAUGACCCGGACCCGGGGCGGAUCUGGAGCUGGAAGGUGGUGGAGCAAAAGAAGGGAAGUUCUACGGACUUGAGAAUAGAGUGAAUCUGCUUCCUCUCAGUGGUCAACAGCUGCUUUCUUGAGAUUGAUGAUGAGCUGGGAUUUUUAUCGAACAGGUUCUGGGAGAAAACCACUGCUGGAAUUCUACCUUGAGCUCUAUCACGAGCCGAGACUCGGCUCCCCGUGUACUCGCGAGGGAUGGCUUGGAUCGUAUGGUAAAGAGAAGACAGCGAGUAUAAUGACUGUGGUCGUUGCGCGGG
rnacentral:misc_RNA from 1 species